rnacentral:rRNA from 1 species
GAUCUGGCUCGGGAUGAACGCUAGCUACAGGCUUAACACAUGCAAGUCGAGGGGCAGCAUGGUCUUAGCUUGCUAAGGCCGAUGGCGACCGGCGCACGGGUGAGUAACGCGUAUCCAACCUGCCUUACACUCUUGGACAGCCUUCUGAAAGGGAGAUUAAUACAAGAUGUUAUCAUGAGUAAGCAUUUUCACAUGAUUAAAGGUUUACCGGUGUAAGAUGGGGAUGCGUUCCAUUAG